UACGUAGGGUGCAAGCGUUAAUCGGAAUUACUGGGCGUAAAGCGUGCGCAGGCGGCUUUGCAAGACAGAUGUGAAAUCCCCGGGCUUAACCUGGGAAUGGCAUUUGGGACUGCAAGGCUGGAGUUUGGCAGAGGAGACUGGAAUUCCUGGUGUAGCAGUGAAAUGCGUAGAUAUCAGGAGGAAUACCGAUUGCGAAGGCAGGUCUCUGGGCUAUAACUGACGCUCAUGCACGAAAGCGUGGGGAGCAAACAGG
rnacentral:rRNA from 1 species